UACGUAGGGGGCUAGCGUUGUCCGGAAUCAUUGGGCGUAAAGAGCGUGUAGGCGGUCCGGUAAGUCCGCUGUGAAAGUCGGGGGCUCAACUCCAGAACUGCCUUUGAUACUGAAGAUCUUGAGUUCGGGAGAGGUGAGUGGAACUGCGAGUGUAGAGGUGAAAUUCGUAGAUAUUCGCAAGAACACCAGUGGCGAAGGCGGCUCACUGGCCCGAUACUGACGCUGAGACGCGAAAGCGUGGGGGAGCAAACAGG
rnacentral:rRNA from 1 species